ensembl:misc_RNA 7SK 7SK RNA
GGAUGUGAGGGCGAUCUGGCUGCAACAUCUGUCACCCCAUUGAUCGACAGGGUUGAUUCGGCUGAUCUGGCUGGCUAGGCGGGUGUCCCCUUCCUCCCUCACCACUCCAUGUGUGUCCCUCCAGAAGCUGCUCGGUGGAAGAGGACGGCCUUCCCAGAACAGAGACGGACAGGUCUUUGGUCAAGGGGAGAGGAGUAGCUGUGCUCCGCUGCUAGAACCUCCAAACAAGCUCUCAAGGUCCAAAACUCACUACACUCCUUAAAUCUAAAUCCCUUUUACAGUUCUUCUACUAAAAGUUCACCUACAAACAGAAGAGAUCUAGCUUUGGUUCUAGUUGCUUUAUGU